rnacentral:misc_RNA from 1 species
UUAAGUUCAGCGGGUAGUCCUACCUGAUUUGAGGUCAGAUUUCAAAUUAGAUUGACCACCUCUGGAAAGGCAGUCGUGGGAGGGCUCAAUCAAAGGGGAACUUCUCAGACAAAGAGCGAGGAUGAUACAACGCCCAACCGAGUUCGACCCACAGGCCCAACCGAAGCAUUUGAGGGGAGCGGCCUCACGGUCGCAGGCCC